rnacentral:rRNA from 1 species
CUUGACAAACUUAUAAGAGGUCCAGCCUGCCCAGUGACUCUGUUCAACGGCCGCGGUAUCCUAACCGUGCGAAGGUAGCGUAAUCACUUGUUCUUUAAAUGAGGACUAGUAUGAAUGGCACCACGAAGGUUAUACUGUCUCCUUUUUUUAAUCAGUGAAACUAAUCUUCCCGUGAAGAAACGGGAAUAAAAAUAUAAGACGAGAAGACCCUAUGGAGCUUUAAACAAAUAUACACCUGCCUCUUUACCAAAAAUUUCAGAAGACAAGUAAUUACCCGGGCAUUUUGAUAUAGCGUUUUAGGUUGGGGUGACCGCGGAGCAAAAAACAACCUCCGCAGCGAACGGGAGUAUUCCCUAAACCAAGGGCCACAACCCCAAGUAUUGAUAAAUCAACACUAAUUGACCCA